rnacentral:pre_miRNA from 1 species
GUGUAGUAUACCUGUCUAUUUCAGGGUGCCUUCAUCAUGACGAGGAAGUCCAUCCUGUGGCGAGGGUCUUAGCGGUCGAGUGGGCGUUCCCUUCCCUACUGGCCUGCUAAGUCCCAAGCCUCGGGGUGGAAUAGCUUCGGAGCUGAGAAGAAACUGCUGGACGAAGAUAUUGUACUAGCA